rnacentral:rRNA from 1 species
AACGAACGCCGGCGGCAGGCCUAACACAUGCAAGUCGAGCGCGCCCUUCGGGGUGAGCGGCGGACGGGUUAGUAACGCGUGGGAAUAUACCCGACACUAAGGAAUAGCCUCUGGAAGCGGAGAGUAAUACCUUAUACGCCCUUCGGGGGAAAGAUUUAUCGGUGGCGGAUUAGCCCGCGUUAGAUUAGAUAGUUGGUGGGGUAAUGGCCUACCAAGUCUACGAUCUAUAGCUGGUUUUAGAGGAUGAUCAGCAACACUGGGACUGAGACACGGCCCAGACUCCUACGGGAGGCAGCAGUGGGGAAUCUUGGACAAUGGGCGCAAGCCUGAUCCAGCCAUGCCGCGUGAGUGAUGAAGGCCUUAGGGUCGUAAAGCUCUUUCGCCAGAGAUGAUAACGACAGUAUCUGGUAAAGAAACCCCGGCUAACUCCGUGCCAGCAGCCGCAGU